rnacentral:snRNA from 9 species
AUACUUACCUGGUGUAGGGAUACCGUGGUCAUGCAGGCGGUUCUACAGGGAGAGGCUGCUCCACUGUACUGCGGAGUGGUUGACCCUAGCGAUUAUUUUUAUUCUUUUAUAUGUUUCACUUCUACUGUGUGUGACUUGCACACACACACU